UACGUAGGGUGCAAGCGUUAUCCGGAAUUAUUAGGCGUAAAGAGCUCGUAGGCGGUUUGUCACGUCUGCUGUGAAAACUGGAGGCUCAACCUCCAGCCUGCAGUGGGUACGGGCAGACUAGAGUGCGGUAGGGGAGAUUGGAAUUCCUGGUGUAGCGGUGGAAUGCGCAGAUAUCAGGAGGAACACCGAUGGCGAAGGCAGAUCUCUGGGCCGUAACUGACGCUGAGGAGCGAAAGCAUGGGGAGCGAACAGG
rnacentral:rRNA from 1 species